CACUAGGUAUUAAGGUCAGUUGAGCCUCCUGAGGCAUUACUUUUUUUUUUUUAUACCAGGGAUUGAACUGGCCACCUUGCACUUGCCAGACAGGCACUUAUGCUGCUGACCUUAAUCCUUGGACCUCAGGCAUUAUUUUUGGAACUAUAUACUGAGCAUCUCAGAACAGUGUCAGUGUCAGCCACCAAGAUAAGUCACAGUCUUGUUUGACCAUGUGGCUUCCUGUGGAAGCAUGGGAGACACUUCUUUGGUGACCCUUUUUUUUACCAUCUUGUACAUUUGUUGAUUCCUGGGGUUCAAUAAUCUCCCUGGGUGACUUUUCAAAGUUGUAGGAUGUUGUAGAGAAGGUCCCCUAAUGUCCUGGGUCCUUGCUGACCUUGGAGGGCCAGGGCCAAAAUAUUGGCUAUCCUCUUAUCUCAGUUAUAUUUCUAAUUCUGGUCUCCAAACCUUAGAUGUUGAACAUCCAGAAGGUUAGUUACACUAAUAUUACAGUGGGAGUGGUAGGUUUUAAUUUUAUUAUCUUAUCUAAAUGUCAAGAACCUUGAAAUAGUAUAAUCAGGGAACUGUUAAUUCUUUAACAAUCAUGAUUAUCUUGGAAGUUGAAUCCUUGCCAAUAUUAACAAAUAACACAUAAAGUUUUACAGAGAAAAAUUGAGGUUAACUGCAACAUAACAUUUUAGCAUAAUCUGCUGACAUUAUUAAAUUAGAACCAUUAGAUUUUAGUAUUAUCUCUGAAACAUUUAAAUUAUCAUUUUAAUAUAGAAUAAUUUUGCUUAGUUAUCUUUAUAUAACUGCAAGAUAUUAAAUAACAUAAACUUCUACCUAAAUUUUCUAUCUUUCAAUAGAAUGCCAUUUCAGAAGAAUAUACUUAUCUGUAGAUAUAUUUUAUAGUUUAUUAAUGUCUAACCUUUAAUUUCUAGAGUGGCAUUGACUGGACUGCAGUGUUUAAGAAUCUGUAAGUGUAUAACAAAUACAUAAGGUAUAUAACAAUCACAUAAGCAUAAAUCUUGGAAAAGUAUUUAUAUCAUCUGGUUGACUCAUGUUGGAUUGAUAUGCAUAUUUCAUCAGAAUAUAAGUAAGGGAAAGUCAGAUGCUUGAGUCUAAAAAAGUUUAUUAACAUAAACAAUUUUAGCUGGAAAUCACCAGUGUAACAAUAUAUUUUUUGUUUUGUAUAGUUGAAGGGCUAUACUCUUGGGAAACACAAAUAGAUCAUAUAAUAUCAAUGAAGUUAGCAAUAACUGGUAUCACAACUACAUAAUAAUCUUUACAAAAUCUUUACCUAUGUUUAGUUUUUAGGUUUUUUGUCUUUUUGAGACAGGCUUUCACUAUGCAGGCUGGCCUUGAACUCACUUUGUACCCCAGGUUGGCCUCAAACUUGCAGCAAUCCUCCUGCCUCAGUCUCCCAAGUGCUGGUAUUACAUGUAUGUGCCACUAUGCCUGGCUAGUUUCUACUGUUAAAACAUAUCUCCAUAGACAAAAGCUACCAUCAACUCCAAAAAUCAAAGAAUCUUAAUGACUGCUUUAUAACUUUGUGAGAGAGAAAAAACAUCAAAGGACAGAUUGAAGAUGCUUCUUUAAGCUAUAUAGUUUUGGCUCAUAAAGACAUUGUUUUUGAAAGUAGUUCUCUCUGCUGUCACCCAGAGAUCAGUUCCUUCCAUGUCGCAGAAUGAGGAGCUGUCUUGCCAGUCACAUGAGAAACCCCUGCCCAGGCACUGAGUCAGGCAAAACUCUCAUGUGUAUCUUCCUGGAUGAGCAUGAAUUCUGAUUUCCUUCUAAUCCAGGGAUAGGGGUUAUGUAAUCUAUAAAGGAAUGCUUAUCCUUGGUGUUCUUAACUACAAAUGAAGAUUUAUUUUCUAAAGGUUCAGGAGCUUCCAAUUAAAAGGGAGAAAUGAUCUUCAGGAUUGUAGAAAGAAGCACAUUACCAUUUCCUGACACACUAAUAAAAACUUCCCCUGACAGAAGUGAACUUAAAUCUUGAAUCCUCAGAAACACCCACACUAGCUGUCAGCCAAAAGCCAUUCUAAAAUGUCUGUGUAAUAGAGCUAUCUUGUAGUAACCAAGUAAAUCAAGUAAAAAAUGCAAGGCCUUGUUUGCAAAAAUAAAAGUGCUUCAUCACAGAAACCCACAUCACGAUAUUCCAUGAUCUUACUUUUAACAUAGUACAAGUAACCAACAAAACUCAUAAACGACCAGCAAACAAUGCAUAACAAUGUUUGAUUACCAAAGCAAAUCACAAUCCAGGAUCCAGUCAAAAUAUUCAGGGAUGCCAAGAAACAAAAGCAAAUGCUUACCUCCUUCUAAUUAUCUCCAGAUUGACACAGAGGAAAUAUAACUCCCAACCUGUUCGAUGUCAAAUGUGCUGAGUUUGUGGUCCCACAACACCAAGGAAUGAAAUUGUGAACCUAAGGAAGAAGUAAGGAGAGUUUUAUUGGAAAUUAAAACAAAAGAAUAGCUCCUGGAUUUCCAAGAGGGGUCCCAAACAGGGCCACCUCCCAGGGCCUUUGUCUGGCCUAAUUUAUACAGCAAAAUCAUAGUGUGGGUACAAUCUGAGUCAAUCCAUAAUCACCCUACAGGAUCAUAAGUACAACUGCUUAGCUAAUGUUGAUCCAGUAAGGAAAUGAGUCAUGUAGCAAGGGUACACAUGGAACGAACAAAAGGAUUUUGGGGAAGGAAUGGAUCCAAUUCCUCUGGUCACCCACCCAGGAAACUAAUGCCUAUCUGGACUUACUGGAGCAGGUGGUUCUAAGUACAAUAUAAUCUCAAAUUAUUGUUUAUGCUUUAGGGAAGCAUGUAGACAUAGCCAUUGCAUCUUUAUCUUGAGAUUCCUUCUUCAGAUACUCAACAACAAAUCUGUUGUCUUUAUUUUUGUGCCGACUUUCUUGAAAACUCAGUCCCUCUUUGACUGUACAUUUAUUUAUCUAAUUUGGCUGCUUAUUUAUUGUCUCCUUUAGUCUGCAGAGCAGAGUCAGGCCUGAGUUAUAAACCUGGCUAACUCUGGAGUUUGGUUCUGAAUCUAUGUGCUUGAUUCCCUUUUUUAAAUGAUAUAAAAACAAACAGAUUUGUUGACCGGAGUGAAUUCAGUGAAGCAAAUAGGAAAUCCUCCUCCUUCAUAAAGUGACCUUUUAGGGACUAACAGGACAUUGAAUCUUAGCAGUACUCCUGAGCAGAAGUGUCUUCAGAUUCUUCCUCUUUGCUAGGCUGGGCCAGGCUAAAAAAGCAGUGGGUCUAAAUUCAGGCCUGAGCUGGAUAUGGUGGUACACUCCUGUAAUCCCAGCACUUGGGAGGCUGAGGCAGGAGAAUUGUUUGCGAGUUCGAGACCAGCCUGGGCUACAUAGUGAGUCCAAGGCCAGCCCUAACUGCAUAGCAAGACCCUGUCUCAAAAAAGACAAAGAAAAACAAAAAGAGUGCCAUAAUAAAAUAUUGUCAUGAAAAAAGUAAAUAAAUAAAUUCAGGCCUGAGGGUCUUUGGCUAUGGAAACAAUGCUGACAGCUUGGGAGGGAUCCUGGACUAAUCCUCUAUCUGGCUUUGAGGCCUUGGCAAGUCUUUUCAUCUUCUUUCCACAGGCUUCACCUGACUGACUUUGCAACACUGUGCUAAUGAAUUGGAAAGUAUUUUGACAAGUAGAAAAUGCUGGUAGAAUGAAAGAUAUUAGAAUUUGUAAUAGAGGGACACCUUAUCAUCUCACAGUAAUUCUGUGUAAUUGAGGAUAGGAAAAGGCAGAAUCUUAGGGGAGGUACCAGGGCAGAUGAAAGCACUGUGUUGGCAGGAUGUGGUUACCAUACUGGCAAGCACCCAAGGACUAAGUUCUAACAAAUGUUUCAAACAGUUCAGCAAGGUCAGAUCCUGGUGGAAUCAUGCCAAAAUGUAUGAUUCCUCAGCAUUGAGCUGGAGAGACUCCUUAGCAGUGUCUGGUAAGACCAGCCUUAGAUGCUGAGAUACAACGACCCUAGAUAAGUGGAAGAUGAAGGUGGAUCCAAAGGAAGAGAGAAGUGCAGCCUGAGAAAAAUAGUGUCUAGCAAGGGGAGGACUAACGAGAAAACAAAAGAAAGAAAGCAAGGGCCUGGGAAGUGCUGAGUUAGGGAAGAGUGUAAAAGAGGUCUAGAUCUUUAAGGAAGAAAAUCUACAGGGUCCACAUAAAGUGUGUCUUGAAGGAGAGAGAUAUGCUAUGAAAAGAGGCGUCUAGAAGAAGAAAUGAGAGUGAAAAGGGUAAAAAUGUAAGGAUGAGAGGACUAUGGAAGAAAGACUUGGAGUCCAGAUCAGAGAAAGGCUGAGAGAGAUUUCAGCCUGACAGUUCCACCAAGUAAGUAGUUCUUGUCAUGGUCAUUGGCGACUGUAUUUCAUCAAAUCAAAUGACCACUUUUCAUUCCUUCAUUUCCCUUACCACUGUGAAGCAUUUAAUACCCUCAAUAAACUGCCCUGCUUCAAAAGUGAUCUCCUUUUGGCCUCUGUGAUUCAAUACUCUUCUGGAUAUCUUUAUAUCUCUCUAGUCUUUCAUUAGAUCCCCCUCUGGCAGAUCCUAAAAUAUGAGUGUUUCUCAGAAGUAGAAAGAAAAAUAGUAGUUACCAGAACCUGGGAAGGGUGUACAUUGGGGGCAAUGAUGAAGUGGUACAGGAGUGCAGUCAAAUAAGAGGAAUAACUUCUAAUGUCCUAUAGUAGAGUAGUUAUGGAAGACUACAAUUAACUGAAUAUUUCAAAAUAGAGGAUAGAGGGGAUGUUGAAUGUUCCCAAAACAAAGAAAGGACAUAUAGCUGAGGUGAAUGAUACGCUACUUACUUUGAUCCAGUCAUUUCUCGUUGUAUAUACAUAUUCUUGGGUUGCUAUACUCCACUCUCCACACAGCAGCUAUGCACUUGUUGGCCCCCACCCUACUCUCUCUCUCUCUCUCUCUCUCUCUCUCUCUCUCUAAGUAUUUUGUAUUGCUCUUUUCCUUGUCAUUACACUGCCUUUCUGAUUUCGAUGUUUCUUAUUUGUGUUCUCAAAAUAUGUUAUCUUUGUUUGCCCUCCCGCUAGUCCUCGUGGGUUGUAGUUCCUGUUUCUUCUUCCCCACUGCGCUGUGCGAAUGCUUAGGGGGUUUGGCUUUCACUUGUCAUUCUCAUCAUUAUCCUUGAGUCAAAAUAUAAUGAUUAACAUAUAGUAGGUGCUCCAUAGAGAUGAUAUAGUUGGACUGAGAAGAGAGUAUAGUAAGAAAAGACACAGUCAAACUCCCUGGAGAGAGAGAGAGAGAACUGGAAGGAGUGAAAGAGCCUCCACAUAAGAGUGCAGCCAACUGACAACUUGUGAGACCCUAAGCAAAGAACAGAGGUGCACCCAGUGGACUUUCGGCCUACUUAACUGAAUUUGAAGCUCGGAGAUAAGGCUUAAUCUGAACAAGAAGAGGUCGUCUUUGGAGGCCAUGGAUGUUCCCCACAAAUGACCCCCAAGGCAAGUGAGGACUGGGCUCUUCUAGCAUAAAUUCUGUUACGUUGACUAUCUGUACAGUGCUGUGGAUAUUUUAUUGCAAAACUUCCCCGUCUAGGCCACGAUCAACCUCUAUGAGGACUCCAAUAGGGAAGAGGAAAAGGUGAAGUAGAAGAUAAUGAGGAGAAAGAGGAGGCCAAUGAAGAGUUCAGAAGGGCAUGUGAAAGAACCUGUACCACGCAGGGUCAUAGCUCAUCCACUUUCCCCCACCCCUGACCUGUCCAUACUGAAGUAACCACAGUCUCACUGGACAGUUUCCAAGGGCAUUGAUUUUCCAAGAGUUUCCAGGUGCAGCUUUCUGAACUGAAAACUAGUUGUUGAGCUGCCCAGCUCAUGUGGUCUACCUGAAUGACCUGUAAGGCCAGAUCUCCAGCAUCUGAUUGUCUGGGCUGCUCUUGUGUCAACAGUAGAAGGGUUUUAAGAGCACUAGGGGAAGGAAGAUGGCAUUGUGAGGCACCCAAGAAGCAGAGUAGAAUGGGGUAUAACCAUGUAGAGGAUAGCAGUCACACCUCAGGAUCCUCUGAGGUCACCCCCACUUUGCACUCCCCCCAAUCCAUCCCCACUGCCAGCCUUGGAAAGUGGACACAUAGUUUGGUCUCCAUGUGGAAAACCCUACUUCUGGCAUCACCUCCAGGAAUGGCUAUAUGAAAUUAAAGCAAGGUUGUGUUGCCUUUCUUAUGGGUCUUGAAGGAAAGGAAGGGGGCAUCUAUCCAGGGAAUCAGCUUGUUCUGCCCUUCUCUUUCAUUUGGCUUGUUACUCACUGAAGUCUAUGUGUCAGCAUAAGAUGAAUCAAGUGAAAAAUAAACUGGAUAAUGUUUGCCUUUUUCUUAUAAUUGUGGUGAUUUCAUAACUGAACUCUGUCCUUGUUGUGAAGCCAUGAGCAAAGAGGGAGAGACUAGUUCAAGACCAAUUCAUUGUUCUACCUACCGAAAAAUAAAUCUACAGAUUUUUCUCCAUCCAGGAUGAAGAGUUAGGGAACAAGCAUGGGGCCAGGCUCUGUCAACUAUAUCAGACUUGAUUAAGCAUGAAGAAUAGCUUAGAUAGGGAAAAAGGACCCCAAAGGGCCUCUUGAAGUUGAGAGUAGUAGGGUUUGGGGAUUGAUAGGAAGGUGAGUGGUACAGUUUUGUUUGAGGCUUAGAACUGGCUGUGUACAUAUUAGGCAAGGUUGGAGUAGCUACUGAAUCUUGUUCAUUCCUCCUCAGUGCCCUUCAUAUCCACCACAGCUCAGGCCUUCACAUUUAUCGCUGCCCCAAUUACUCUUCAACGAAUUUUCUUGACUGCAGCAUGUCUUUUUGUGAUUUGUGUUUUACAUUGGCUACCAGAUUAGAUCAGGUCAUGCCUUGGCCUUGUCACUGGCUAGCUUUAUGGUUGUUUGUUUGGUUCGCUUUUUUAAAAUUUAUUUUUAUCACAGAAGCCCUUGAGAAUCCACAGCUUCUCUACCAGAAAAAGCCAUGUACACACACACAGACACACACAGUGCUGUAUAUUCACAAGUCAGUCCUUACUGUAAUAUUGUCAGCCUUCCAGUCAUCUGGUUUUUGUCUUUCUCCUCAGAAUCAUUCUUUAGCAUUUGAAAUUUACAUUGCCUGUCCUUGAAUAAGGUUUGUUUUCUAAUAUUUCUGUGACUUUAAGCCUUUGUCUGGAAUGCCUUUCCAUGUUGGCAUACCUCAUAAACUCCAAUUCACCCCAAAAACUAGUUCAUAUCCUGUGGGAAGAUGCUCUAUGCUCCUAAGUACAAGCUGGUUACCCUCAUACAUUCAAAGCUCCCUCUACCAUGGCAUCUGCCUCAUUUCCUAUGCAGAAAAAUGGGGCUGUGUUUGAUAUCCCUAUAUGACUUCAAAGCACUGUAUAUUCAUUGCCAGGCAUAAAGCAGGUGCUCAGGAAAUAUUGAAGGAAAAACAUCCUUGGUUGUAAAAGCAGUUGGCAAAAUCAAUACUGUUCCCUCACUUGCCCACUUCCCCAUGUCUUAACUUACUUACAAAGGGGUCAGGGUAAUGCCAAAUUAUUGAAGAACAAAUGAUGGCUUUUUCCUAUACUUCCUCUCUCAAUUUGAGACAAACUGAGUUCUGAGCCCUAUCUGGGAUUUCCCAAAUCAGACACAGCUUAGAGCAGCCCAUCAAGCUCACCCACUGGUGCCAUCUGUUGGUCGAAAUUUAACCUCGUUCCUUGAUUAAGACCACCAAGCCACUGAUCUGUGACCACUUGUAAUUCCUUUAGUCCAUUCUGUUUCUGCUUGUAAGUGAAGUGCUACUAUGUGUUAGCUGUGUGACCUUGGGCAAAUUACUUAUCCACUGAACUCAUCUCCUCAGCCCGGGCACAUAGUAAAAUCAUUCAAUAAAUGAUUGUAGUCACAAAAAUAGUAAUUGUGGUAGCUAUUUCAGAUUUUAUAAAUGAAAUAAGCUUAUAGGCUGGAGUCAGUAAUGACUAAUUUAUUCAACUAAUGACUGACCUGUUAGCAAUCUCUACCUGAUUUCUCUGGAUGGUUUACCAGUCAAAGCUUUUUUUUGCAAUAUCUAUCUCCAUUGAAAAAAAAUUUAAAAAUACCAUCAACAGAGGCUUAGUAUGUCUUCUUGUACCACUAGACAUUCAAACAGUAGCCCAAAAUGACAGAACUAGAAUUUCUCCCCUGUCCUCCUCUCCCCUGUAAAGAAACUCCCUCCACACUGUUUUGUGUGAUACCUUCAGAAAUUCCUAGACUUUGAGAAAGAUAAUUUUGAAACCACUGUCCCAAAGGUUAAACCAAGAAUGAUUUGAUGGGGGAUUAAUUAGAAUUUUAACAUGUUUAGUGUUCUUUUAAAAUCCUUAUUUUGGGUCCUAAACUCUCAGUACUUCACAGCUCAAAAACUGUUUCAGUACUUUUAUACCACAGAUUAUCAGGAUUUAAAAUUCUUGGAAUCCCAAUAUCCUUGGUU